GGCCAUUGCUAUCGGAGUCCGAUUUAGCCAUGCUAGUCGCACGGGUUUAGACCCGUGGCGGAAAGCUCAGUAACACGUGGCCAAACUGCCCUGUGGACGGAGAUAACCUCGGGAAACUGAGGCUAAUAUCCGAUACAGCUCGCAUGCUGGAGUGCAGCGAGCUGGAAACGUUCCGGCGCCACAGGAUGUGGCUGCGGCCGAUUAGGUAGACGGUGGGGUAACGGCCCACCGUGCCGAUAAUCGGUACGGGUUGUGAGAGCAAGAGCCCGGAGACGGUAUCUGAGACAAGAUACCGGGCCCUACGGGGCGCAGCAGGCGCGAAACCUUUACACUGCACGACAGUGCGAUAGGGGGACUCCGAAUGCGAGGGCAUACAGUCCUCGCUUUUCUGUACCGUAAGGUGGUACAGGAACAAGUGCUGGGCAAGACCGGUGCCAGCCGCCGCGGUAAUACCGGCAGCACGAGUGAUGGCCGAUCUUAUUGGGCCUAAAGCGUCCGUAGCCGGCCAGACAAGUCCGUUGGGAAAUCCACGCGCUCAACGCGUGGGCGUCCAGCGGAAACUAUCUGGCUUGGGCCGGAGACUCGAGGGUACGUCCGGGGUA
rnacentral:rRNA from 1 species